ACGUAGGAGGCGAGCGUUAUCCGGAUUUACUGGGCGUAAAGCGUGUGCAGGCGGUUUGAUAAGUUGGAUGUGAAAGCCCCCGGCUUAACUGGGAGGGGUCGUGCAAAACUAUCAGACUAGAGGGUGGAAGAGGGAGGUGGAAUUCCGCGUGUAGUGGUGAAAUCCGCAGCUACGCGGAGGACCACCAGUGGCGAAGGCGGUCUCCUGGCCCGUAUCUGACGCUGAGCCACGAAAGCUACGGUAGCGAACGG
rnacentral:rRNA from 1 species